ACUGGACCCGGACUACAGCCACGAUGAUUUAAAUAUGUUGAUAAUAAUUGUACAGGGCAAGCGCUUGUUUGCCGGUUGAUGACCAUAGUAAAUGGUCGCUGAUUGUAGUUAUGCUUGUAAUCAGCAAAUAUUAAUUUGUAACCAAUCGCUUCACCAUCUCUUGAGAGUUUGGUGAGCUGGUUUAACUGUAUAGGGCAAUUGCCCGGCUGUGAUGUUGCGGUGAUCUCACCCACGCGCAAAAAUGCGAAGAAUGCUAGAGCACGCAUCGCACGAAAUUGACACUGGUCGUAGUACGUAGCGACACAGUGUGGCACAGCCAUUACUAAUCGAUUUAAAAUCGUUAGCGUAAUAGGCAACCUAGCGUCCAAACGAAAACCCUGUUUGCCAUAGCCUUUCAACAUUUGCACAAUGUAAAAUAUUUUAGUGGGAUCCAUCAAUCCCAUUAAUUUGUGGGAAUAGCCGAGAGCCGUAGGUGUUGACAGUAGAGGGGGCGUAGCGCCGGUCAAACAUGUAGGCGAUAAAAAGUGCUAAUGUAGGAGGCGAAAU
rnacentral:lncRNA from 1 species